rnacentral:ncRNA from 1 species
GCAGAGUAGGAAAGCGCGUGGUCAGUGCCGGCGGGACGGGGAGUUGUCCGCCGGACGAAACGGCGAGUGGUUCGUCUGCAGUGCGCUUUCCGCAUCCCGCUGC